rnacentral:ribozyme from 1 species
GGAAGAUGCUUGACAAGCAGCAGGAGUUGCGAGCAGCCUCGGGGCCGAGGAAGACGGUGACCUUGCCCCGGGCCCACUCCUGCAUAGGCCCCUUCCCAGGUU